rnacentral:lncRNA from 1 species
CAAGAAGAAAGGAGAUUGGGGUUUUAAAUGAAUCAGAAAAUCAAAGGUGGUCAUUGUUGUGGUAGGAGUAAUUGAAUUGAUUGAUUUCUGAAGGCGUAGAGAGAAAGAGAGAAGAAAUGGAAGGUGAAGGUGAAGAAGUAAACAUACAGUAAUUGGCUUCCAAUCUCUCUCUAUAUAAAGAUCAACUUCACCAGGUCAGUCACUCUCCCUUCUAUGUGUUAGGGUUUAUAUUUCAUAACUUUAUUCUACUUUAGCAAAUUGGAAUAAUCAUAUAAUCACUCUUAUCCCCACCUCUCUCCCUCACUCUAAUUUCAAUCAUUUAACAUUUUGUCAUCGUGGAAUUUUAGGCCAGAGGUUAUUAAUUAAUAAAUGAAUAAAUAUUGUAUAACAUUUUCAUCAAAUAAUGAUGCUACCUUUAAAAAUAUAUAUAUGCGAAUCACACUAUGUAUAAACUUUCGUUCACAGUAGACUUUGCACAUUGGUUUGUGCAAUAACUGUCUCCAGUUUAAUAAAACCACUGGUUGCAGAUAGUCUUUGUGUGGAGCAUUUUAUAUCUGAUGUGUGGCUUGAUUUUAAAUAAAGUUUGAUUUUUGUUAGGGUUUCAGUUUCUGGGUUCUUCCAAAGGUGGUGUAUUUUGUUGAGAUCGGGUGGUAAUUGGGAGUUAGGGUUUUGGGUUAUUUGAGUUCUUUGUGUUAGUGGUUUUGAAGAAGGAGGAGUGGGGUUUCUGUGAUGAGCUUGUAUUGGAGUUUGAAUUAUUGUUUGGAUCUGAGGUUAGCUAUAUAAUCAGAUAUGGAUAGAAAGUUCUGGGCUUUAGUUUUCAUCUUCUCUAUUUUAUUAUUGCAUCCACUAUGCUUCAUCUCUGCUAACAUUGAAGGUUUGUAUCAAAUUUCAAAACAACACUACCCAAAAGAUGAAAGUAAAAUAAUUACCCUAUUGGGGAGGUGAGUAUACUAAGGGGGUUCAUUUGUUUAGACUAUUUCACACCAAAAAAGUGAUUCCUUUGGUUGAAAAAACAUCACUUUUAACAUUUAUAUGCUUGUUCUGUAACUUCUGUUGCAGAUUAAAUUUAAAAAAAAAUUAUCCGAAUAAAUAAUCUGAACUUUUCAGCUUUCCUAUUAAGGUAACUUUUGGAUAAUCACUUUUUUAAAGCGGUACUAAAUCAUCAAAGCCUAAUCAACACAAAUUUACAGUACCAAGUAAUAUACAGCAACAAAAUCAACUCUUGGGUUUGUAAAGAUGAAAAUUGUAGUGCUUGCAAGAUGAAAACUGUAUAUUUUAAAAUAUAAUAUUUAAAUUUUAAUAUUAUGAUAUCCUUAUUAUUUUAAAAAUAAUAAUAAGGAUAUCAUUUUAUUUUGAACUAAUAAUAAGGACAUCAAGUCUACUUUACAUAUGUAUAUAUUAUAAAAUCUAGCAGAGGGAUAUAGGAUAAUGUUUGAUCUUCUAUUUCUUUCUUUUCUUUUUGGAGUAGGGAUAUAGGAUAUGUUUCUUUCAUAAUAAUAUUUGUUUUAUUUUCUUUUGUAGUCUAAAGAGUAGGAUGUUCAUUAUGAAGUUUAUAAGUAGUAACAUAUAUUAUAGAACAUAGAAAAUCAGAAGAAAAAAAGCAAAGAGUUGAAAAGUACCUGAAAAUGUUUGAAGUUACACAAACUGGUUCAUCAAAUAAUGAUGCAACCUAUGAUAGUCCCUAGUUAAGUGGUGAAAUCUGUACAAACAUACAGUCUGAAUUAACAACAAAUAAAAAUAGAAGUUUAUGUGUGUUGCAACUUAAUGGUUAUUACCAUAUUUAGAUUUUAAAUUGGUUAUAGAAGAGAGAAAAAUAGAAGAAAAAACAGGAUGGUAUGAGAAAUACCUGAGAGUUGGAAGAAAUUAUUUUGUGAAGCCAAUAAAUUAUUGGUUCUAAUGAAACAAAUUCCAAGCCAAGGUGAGUAGUAGUAGUAGCAUGUUCUUCAAUAAACAACACAAUAAAAGUAGAAGUUCUGGUGAGUUAUUGGUUAUUAAGAGAUCUUAAAUUUGUUAUAGUAGAGAGAAAAAUGAAAAAAGAAAUAGAGAAAGGAUGAGAAAUACCUGAAAUGAGAAAUAAAUUAUUAGUUCUAAUCAAACAAAUUCCAAGCCAAGAUGAGUAGUACUAAUAGCAAUAUGUGAGGGUGAUACCUAACUUUAACCCCAAUUACCUCUAGUAGUACUAAUAGCAUAUGAUUUAUGAAAAGUUGUUGGAAUAGAAUAAUUAAUCAUUGUUGUGAUGUGGAUGUGUGUUGAUGAUGUGCAGAGAGUGAGAGGUCAUUCGUAGUACUAAAAGUUUUAUUAUUGAUAAUGCUUAGGAUUUGAUUAAGUGAGUUUGAGGCCCGAUAAUAUUUUAUUUCUUGAAAAAUGCCCUUGAAUAUUGCCAUGAUAUAGAAAAUGGCAGUUUUGUAGCUGUUGAAAACCUUCUUCAUUAACUGGUGUAAAUAAUGGCAGUUUUGUAACUUGGUGGUAUUGGUGUUCAGUUUUUUAACUGGCAAUAAAAUGUGGCAUUAUCUUUGUUAAGUUUUACCCAUGAUGAGGAUGAUUUUGCAUGAUAUGUUUACAUAGUUGGUUUUAUAUAGUAUCAGGGCAACUAUCUUAUGUGUUUUAUAUAAAUUUGACAGGCACGGUACAGUUCUCAACUAUUUCUGACCAAUUAGUAUUUUAUGUUCCCACUUUAAAUACACAUGAUCUAAAUAUGUGCUUAUGGAUGUUUGUUUAUUGUUUUUUGUAUUAUCAGAGUGAUCCAUGAUUCUGGUUUCUCUUGAUGCUACUGAGAUGGUAUAUUCAUUGAUGAUCAAUGAGGUGAUGCUGUGAUGCUGUGAGGAUAUUUUGGAGUUUCCUAUUAUUUCCAAUUUUUAAUGAAGUUGGAUAUUUCUUCUAUGGUACAAACAAUAGAAGAAACUUUUGGUAGAAAUUAAAAAAUAGUGAGGGGUAAAAUAGGGAUUCAUAAAUUACACCAUAGUGUGAUAGUUAUACUAUGUAUUUUAUAUUUUAUUACCUUAGCAUAUUACUUUUCUUUUGCAGUUUAAAAUUUGGGUAUAAUAUGGAAGUUACUUUAAUAAUAGAGCAAAGGCUAAAAUUGGAAUAUUAAAAUUACUCCAUCCAUGGCAG